rnacentral:rRNA from 1 species
AGAGUUUGAUCAUGGCUCAGGACGAACGCUGGCGGCACGCCUAACACAUGCAAGUCGAACGGUGAAGAGGAGCUUGCUCCUCGGAACAGUGGCGGACGGGUGAGUAACACGUGAGCAACCUGGCUCUAAGAGGGGGACAACAGUUGGAAACGACUGCUAAUACCGCAUAACGUAUCGGGAUGGCAUCUUCCUGAUACCAAAGAUUUUAUCGCUUAGAGAUGGGCUCGCGUCUGAUUAGAUAGUUGGCGGGGUAACGGCCCACCAAGUCGACGAUCAGUAGCCGGACUGAGAGGUUGAACGGCCACAUUGGGACUGGAGACACGGCCCAGACUCCUACGGGAGGCAGCA